GGGGGUAUAGCUCAGUGGUAGAGCAUUCGAUUGCAGAUAGAGAGGUCCCGGUUCAAACCCAGAUGCUCCCU
rnacentral:tRNA from 1 species